rnacentral:rRNA from 1 species
UACGUAGGGUGCAAGCGUUAUUCGGAAUUACUGGGCGUAAAGCGUGCGCAGGCGGUUCGGAAAGAAUGAUGUGAAAUCCCAGGGCUUAACCUUGGAACUGCAUUUUUAACUGCCGGGCUAGAGUAUGUCAGAGGGGGGUAGAAUUCCACGUGUAGCAGUGAAAUGCGUAGAGAUGUGGAGGAAUACCGAUGGCGAAGGCAGCCCCCUGGGAUAAUACUGACGCUCAUGCACGAAAGCGUGGGGAGCAAACAGG